UACGGAGGGUGCAAGCGUUGUUCGGAAUUACUGGGCGUAAAGCGCGUGUAGGCGGCUUGGCAAGUCAGGCGUGAAAGCCCUCGGCUUAACCGGGGAAGUGCGUCUGAAACUGCCUUGCUUGAGUACGGGAGAGGGAGGCGGAAUUCCCAGUGUAGAGGUGAAAUUCGUAGAUAUUGGGAGGAACACCGGUGGCGAAAGCGGCCUCCUGGACCGAUACUGACGCUGAGACGCGAGAGCGUGGGGAGCAAACAGG
rnacentral:rRNA from 1 species